GCCAGCAUCAUCAACCUGCAGCUUUCACCUGCACAUCCACUGAAGCUCAGCAGGGUUGAGUCUGGUCAGUACCUGGAUGCGAGACCUUCGAGGAAGACCAGGUUGCUGCUGGAA
rnacentral:rRNA from 1 species